UACAGAGGGUGCAAGCGUUGUUCGGAAUUACUGGGCGUAAGCGUGCGUAGUCGGUAUUGAGAGUCGCGGGUGAAAUCCCAGGGCUUAACCCUGGAACUGCCUGCGAGACCUCAGUACUAGAGUGUGAGAGGGGAUAGUGGAAUACCCAGUGUAGCGGUGAAAUGCGUAGAGAUUGGGUGGAACACCGGUGGCGAAGGCGGCUAUCUGGCUCACAACUGACGAUCAGGCACGAAAGCGUGGGGAGCAAACAGGG
rnacentral:rRNA from 1 species